rnacentral:rRNA from 1 species
GACGUAGGGGGCAAGCGUUGUUCGGAAUUAUUGGGCGUAAAGCGCUCGUAGGCGGGACAGGAAGUUCGUGUUGAAAGACCUCGGCUCAACUGAGGGACCGGCUCGAAUACUCUUGUUCUUGAGGCAAUCAGAGGGUGAUGGAAUUCCCGGUGUAGCGGUGAAAUUCGUAGAUAUUGGGAAGAACACCGGUGGCGAAGGCGGCUCACUGGCUCAUUUCUGACGCUCAGGCGCGACAGCGUGGGGAUCGAAACAGG